GAUAAACGCUGGCGGUGUACAUAAGACAUGCAAGUCGAACGGGAGAAGACAGGAAGAUUUAUCUACUUGUUGGACACCGUGGCGGACGGGUGAGUAACACGUAAGCAACCUGCCUAUAAGAGGGGAAUAACAGUGAGAAAUUACUGAUAAUACCGCAUAAGCUGGAGGUAUCGCAUGAUACAUUCAGAAAAGAUUUAUCGCUUAUAGAUGGGCUUGCGUCUGAUUAGCUAGUUGGUGAGAUAACAGCUCACCAAGGCGACGAUCAGUAGCCGGAUUGAGAGGUUGAACGGCCACAUUGGGACUGAGACACGGCCCAGACUCCUACGGGAGGCAGCAGUCGGGAAUAUUGCACAAUGGAGGAAACUCUGAUGCAGUGACACCGCGUAUAGGAAGAAGGUCUUAGGAUUGUAAGCUAUUGUCGUGUGAGAAGAAAAUGACCAUCACAGGAGGAG
rnacentral:rRNA from 1 species